rnacentral:lncRNA from 1 species
GCAGACUUCAGAGUCACCGUGAUCAGCGACCUUUCUCCAGGACAAUUUCUCUUUCUCUACACACAGCAAACAGUGCGUCUCUAUUUUUUUUUCUCCUCCUCUCUCCACCUCUCGCCCACCCCCUCCUGUGUUUAGUCAGAUGGCCUCGGAGCUUGGCUUAGUAUUUUUAAUUAGCUGGCGUUUGGAAGCUAAAAGCAGUAAUGAAUUGUUGAUGGAUUGGAAGUGGAGAGUCGCUUUGCUGGAAAUGUCGGGGCUGGGAGAGUGGGGGAUGGGCGCGUUAGCAACACCAACCAUCUAAAAGGAGCGGUUUUGUUACAGUGCAAGCCUUUCACAUCACGUGAGGAUCAAGGGCUCAAUUGGUUGUCGUGAGAACAAAAAUGGUGACAAGCGUAUCAAGAAAAUACUGAUCUGGUCUUUAAAAAAAAAGCUGAAGGUUUCUCCCUCCCCGCUGCAACCCCCCUCCCCCUGCACGCCCUACAGUGGGCGAAGCUACAAGUUAUGAAUGUGAAACAUUUCUCAGCCAUCUAGGAUCUCGGAAGUUCGGAAGGAGGGAAAUGUAAUGGCCACAAGAGCAAAGCAGAUGUUUUAAAGAAACAGCUUAUAAACCUCUCCUCAACUGAUCUCCAAUUUGUCGGCUUUCCCAAGGGGGCCAAUGCAGCGGACGCCUGGGGGGCGGGGGGGGGGGCGGGCAGAGUACCUCCGAGCUGCUGGGAUUUAGGAUCCCCCUCCCCUUCAUGUAUUAAACAAAGAAAAACAUUUUGCUAGCUCCCAAACAGGGACUUGUAAUAAACACACCAUUGUUACUAUUUGUGGGGUUGUUUGGGCUGGGUGGGGCUCUUCCCCCCCCCCCCAACACACACACACCUUCUC